UUCAACAUGAAAAUGAAAAAACAUAUUUCCAGUGUUUACCUCAAUUCCAAAUUAAUUUCUAUCAACUGUCUAGGUCUUUCAACCAUUACCUUAGGCUUUUCUUUCUGAAGAAUAGCAAAAUAAUAUUGGAGCUUAAUAUUUCCCACUCGAGUGGAAGAUGUUCCCAUAAAUAUGUUUUGGGGUUACAUGUUUGAAAAUGUAUCGCAACAUAUUGUAUGUAAGGAGAGAGAAACAUUUUUUCUUGCUCUUUAUACUCUUCCAUGGAUGCUGCCCAACUUAUGCACAGACCACAAACUGACAAAAGUAGUAUGCCCCAUAACUGUUAAAGAAUAAAAUUAUGUAGUAGUCAUAAUUCCUUGCUUAUUAGAGUCCCUGAAAAUUGCCUCACAUUCACAACAAGCAUAGAUGCCCCACCCAAACUCCAGAAACCAUACAAGCAAGGCAAGGCUGCCAGAACUGAUAAGGGUUUCUUGAACCUGGACCCUCAAAAGCCCAAAGUGGAUUGGAGAGUAUAAAAGUGCAGGCAGAAGGGCCCUUUUGGCCUCAGAAGUAAGAAUUCAUAGCCAGUGUGUCAUCUUCCUUCUCCUGCAAGAGUACUGUAGUCUUGUUUUCCAAGUCUUUUUCCCAUCUACGUACAGACACUGCUGUAUGUGUGUAUUGAAAGGUGUGGUUGAUUUGGAAUUGAAUAAACCUUUUCUUGGAAACUCCUAACUGUAUGAUACAACACCAUGAACAACUUCCUUAUUAUAUGAAAGGGUAGCACAGUAACACACUAAUGGCCCCAAAUGGAGAGUAAUUAUUAUUGCAAAUUCUUGAGAGAACAGAAACAAAAGGCAAAAGAUAUAUAUAGAUUACAACAUGUUCUUGACACAGCACAAAAAUUGAAUGGAGGUGAGGACAGUUUCAGCAACAAAUGACUUAAACAUUGAAUCUAAAAGGAAAACAUGGCUAUCAAACUUAAAGUAACUAGAAUGUCAACAAUAAACCUUACAGAUCACCUGUCCCAAUAAAAAAACAGAAUGUUGACUUUUUAAACACACAUGUAUCCAGAAGAAUUAUUGGGAAAUUAUUGUAUCCAUUUCUAAGUAUCUCUAAGUACUGGAAAUAUGUAUUUUGAUAUAGAUUCAAAAAAUAAUUAAUGUGUAAGACAAACUAUUUUAGAAGAUAUUUAAAGGAUUAUAUUUAGGUUGGUUAGGCAAAGAACUGAAAAAGAACACCCUGCCCUUAUUUCAAUUCUAUUUGCUCUGUGAAGGAGUGGAGCUGGCCAACUUAAGUUACUUCUUUGUGCCCAGGAUAUAACUCAUCCCAAGUAGCUUUUGAAUUGCCUGGGAGCUCACAAAAGGAGAGGGGUCCCUGAAGGAUUUCUAGGACUAUGAAAUAGUUUGAGUACACCAUGCUCUCUUUGUACAUAGUAUCCAGCUGAGUUCAAAGUACAAAUAGGCACUUAGUAAACAAUGUUGACUUGAAUGAAUUAACUAGAUUUUUUUUCCUGUAGCUUAAGGUUAAUCUCUCCAGAGACAAUAUCACAUUGUUUUUCUUGAAAUAUUUCUAAUAUGAUACAGUUUAAGCCAAAAUCUGAAUCAUAAUACAGUGAAUAAUCAUAGUUUCUUAGACAUACACUAUUUCAAAAUUCUUUGCCCACUGAAAAGUAAGUUCAGGGAGACCCUUAAACCUCCCCUUACCCUAGAUACUAAAUUUCACUGCUUCUGGCAAGAACAGAUGAGUUAAUGCAUUCUAUUUAUAGUUGAUUCAUAUACUUCUCCAUCAUAGAAUGGAUUCCAGGAAAGAGGUGGGAUAUUGUAACUGUGUGCAGUAACAUUUCAUAGUUCUUUAAUACAUUCUAAGUGCUGAUGAAAAAUUUCUUCCCUUCCUCAUAUUUUUAUGAAAGCCUAAGUUGCAAGAUUUUAAGCUGGAUGGUAAGAACACAGCUACAUAUUAUCACCCUUGACAUUUGCAGACUGAAAAGAACUCUUUUUUCGUCUUGGUUUCUUUCACUCACUGACUCAAUAAACAAUACUUAUUUAUUGUAGGAAAAUUUAAAGACCAAACCCAGGAUGGUAAAAUGGCAAGAGGAUGGGUUUUGGAGUAACACAACCCUAGUCACAAAUCCUGACUCUUCCCCCUUAAUAGCUGGAUGACCGUAACCUUCUGACCAUCCUCAUCUGUAAAAUGAGGAGAAAAAGACUCGCCCUGGGGAUGCUGAGUUUUGAAGAAGAAAAUGUAUUUGAAGCACUUAGCACAAAGCCUGAUUGUUCAUAACUUUCUGCACCCUUUUCUUUAUCUCCUUCCCUUCUCUUCUUUCACUUCUUUUGAUGUUGUACAAUAUAAUCAUGUUUCCAGAAGAAAAGAUUAAGCCAUGAAUUUCUCUAUCCUCUAUUUACACAAAUUACAUGUUUCUUUCUAAUAUGAAUCAUUAUACAAUUCUACCACAUUAAAAUAACAAUAAAUUAUGAUUAAAAUAUACUACUAAUAAUGAUAUUUUUCAUGUAUAUGACCUCCCAAGUUUGAAGAACUUGCUGAAUAUUAUAAUAAACUCUAAAGGGCAUGAUUGCCUCCUGUAACUGAAUCUAUCAAUAGGCAAGUCUUGAUCUAUGCUCAGAAGAUCUCAUUAAGAACCUGAUUUUGUAGUUUUUGCUUAGUGCACAGGCUGGGUUGUCCCCUCGUGGCCCUUAUGAUGCAGGAGAGAGAGGAAAAUUCUUCGAGAGAGACACUGGAGAAAGCAAGAGAGGAUGAGCAGAUAUUUGGGCAGAUUAUCUUGUGGGAAGAACAAUCAAAUGCAAAGGUAAU
rnacentral:lncRNA from 1 species